GAAAGUUGAGAGGAGACUUGGUCUUUAGAGUUCUUGCUCCCAUCUUUCCUCUUUCGUCAAUUCUCUCAUUUGGUGCCAUGCACACCUUCUUGUAAGAGAGCUCUUCCAGGAUGGUGUCCUAUGAAACCUGUCCUUUCAGAUUAAUUUCCCAUCAUCCAAACUCAGUAACUUGGAUUCCUUUUUUUUCAUUCCUCCUAACUCUCAUUUUCAAUGGUGUCUGACUGCUGAUAGAGAAGAAGUGACUGGAAUAAUUCAUGCUAAGGUGUGAAUGGUCCAUUGCUGACUCAGCUUGUGAUCCCAGCUUUGCAUUCUGAAGGAGUAGCUACUGAACCCAAAUAGAAUCUAAUGGUCAGAGUUAAGGACUUAUUAUUCAGUCAAGUCUGAAUAGUAUACUAUGUCCAAAUAGUAAGCAUAUUUUUCUGCCCUGGCUCCCUUUCUACUGAAUGGAGAUGGUAUUAAUAGGAUACUUUAAAGCUAUGAUUUCCAAACUUCUGAUGGUGCAUAUCUAUCAGAUACAAGAAAAUGAGCACCUACCCAAAUCAUUUAUUGAAUUCACAUACAUAUGUACAAUCACUGCGCCGAUGUGCUGUUUACUGCAAACAUACAAGUUUAAAAGGGUGCGAUAAAACUAAAUAAUACGUUUACACUAUUUUAUUUUAGCUGUAGAAAAUGUAUAUUCUUCUGCUCUCAUUUCAACUUGUGUUUGGAGUACAAGUAGUAAGGAGGAAUAUGCUUCACGCACGUAAAUUACACACGUAAAUCACACACCAAAUGCUGAAAGAAAACAGCCAGUGAGCACCUCCUCUCCGCAUGCUUCACCGUGGGCACUCAGGUCACUUUUCAUGGUUGUCUGUGCCUGUCAGACGUACACAGGAAAGGAGGGGCAGGAAGAUGGGUGAGGGGAUCCGUCUGUACAGUGUUAAUAACGUCUGAUUUUCUUCUUUGAUCAAAAGAGAUAAAAAAGCUGUAAUGGUUUCUUUCUGUAACCCAGUUAAUCAUUAUCGUGGGGGUGCAGUCACUGCUCCGUGUGCCUUCGUUAACACAAGAGCAGGCUCGGAUCCAAGUUUUGUGGAACUUGGGACUGUUACAACUUCUGGGGAAAGGAAACUCUUUAAGAAAAAGAGCACACACACAAAUCUUACUUUUGCAACUUCUUACAAACUCUGUGAUCCUGGCAACACGGUCCUGGGUCCUCCCAGAGUGGCUCUCGGGGUGAUGGGAGAGGAUUCUGGGGGCGGGGGGCCCAGCACCCCCAGCAAGGAGGACGGCCUGCCUCCAGAUCGUUCUCUUCUUACGGGCCUGUCCUCGACGUCUCUCCCGUUUCUCUCUGCGGCUCUCACACGCCCCUCUGCUCGCCUGAACCCGUCCACCCGGACGCCACGCGGGGCCGCCCAGGAGAAAGCAGCGGCAGAAUUCUUUGAAACAAAGACGUAA
rnacentral:lncRNA from 1 species